UCCCUGAUGGUCCAGUGGUUAUGACUCCAUGCUUCUAAUGCAGGGGGCCCGGGUUCAAGCUCUGGUCAGGGAA
rnacentral:tRNA from 1 species